rnacentral:rRNA from 1 species
GGAAGCACCGGCUAACUCCGUGCCAGCAGCCGCGGUAAUACGGGGGGUGCAAGCGUUAUUCGGAAUCAUUGGGCGUAAAGGGCGCGUAGGCGGUUUUUUAAGUCGGAUGUGAAAGCCCGGGGCUUAACCCCGGAAGUGCAUUUGAAACUGAAAGACUUGAGUAUGGGAGAGGGAAGUGGAAUUCCUGGUGUAGAGGUGAAAUUCGUAGACAUCAGGAGGAACACCGGUGGCGAAGGCGACUUCCUGGACCAAUACUGACGCUGAGGCGCGGAGGCGUGGGUAGCAAACAGGAUUAGAUACCCUGGUAGUCCACGCAGUAAACGGUGAACACUAGGUGUAGCGGGUAUUGACCCCUGCUGUGCCGAAGUUAACGCAUUAAGUGUUCCGCCUGGGAAGUACGAUCGCAAGAUUAAAACUCAAAGGAAUUGACGGGGGCCCGCACAAGCGGUGGAGCAUGUGG